rnacentral:rRNA from 1 species
AGCAACGCCGCGUGAGUGAAGAAGGUUUUCGGAUCGUAAAACUCUGUUGUAAGGGAAGAACAAGUACAGUAGUAACUGGCUGUACCUUGACGGUACCUUAUUAGAAAGCCACGGCUAACUACGUGCCAGCAGCCGCGGUAAUACGUAGGUGGCAAGCGUUGUCCGGAAUUAUUGGGCGUAAAGGGCUCGCAGGCGGUUUCUUAAGCCUGAUGUGAAAGCCCCCGGCUCAACCGGGGAGGGUCAUUGGAAACUGGGAAACUUGAGUGCAGAAGAGGAGAGUGGAAUUCCACGUGUAGCGGUGAAAUGCGUAGAGAUGUGGAGGAACACCAGUGGCGAAGGCGACUCUCUGGUCUGUAACUGACGCUGAGGAGCGAAAGCGUGGGGAGCGAACAGGAUUAGAUACCCUGGUAGUCCACGCCGUAAACGAUGAGUGCUAAGUGUUAGGGGGUUUCCGCCCCUUAGUGCUGCAGCUAACGCAUUAAGCACUCCGCCUGGGGAGUACGGUCGCAAGACUG